rnacentral:lncRNA from 1 species
UUGGUUUGUAGCAUCUAUGCCUCAGUUUGAACUCAGUCUAAUUUAGCAACUGCUUCCUUUCCACAGUGAGCAGUAGCUCAGGUCAAGUGCAGGCUAGUUGGUUCCAUGCUCUCUUCUUUGAAAGCCGUUUCUCUGGUUUUCCUUAGUCACGUACAACUUCCUGCCUUUAGCCCAGUGUGGUGCCUAUUAUAAAUUCAUCAACUUCAGCUCAUCCUCACGCUUCACUGAACAUCAUCUAAGGUGGGACCUGCAAACAUUGUGAGGCCAUCUCAGAGCAAACACAUUUCCAUCCAAAUCACAAAAUUCAGCCCGUUAAUAAAAGUGCCUGUGGGCUUUUAUCGUAGGGGAAUCUUCAACAACACAUGGUUGAAAUAUUACAGAGUGUUUCCUUUUAGUUUCUAUUUUAAAAAAUUCAUUUCGACAGGAGGCAGUAUAGGUGAAGUAACCAUAUAAUUUAUCAUCAAAACCAGGACACUUUUGAGAGUGAAAGGGAGUAACUCCUCAUCAUUAAUCCAGGACAAAAGGCAUAAAAUGGAACUGUCUCAGGCAAAACUGGUUGUGUGUCAUCUUAAGCAAGGUCAGUUGGCCCACAAAGUGGCUCUAACUAGUAAAAAACAAACAAACAAAUAAACAAAAACAGGUAGCUGGCUGGAGGAAAGUCAGCCAUUUUGCCUCAGUGGUAUUUAAUCGACACCUUUUCACCUAGGAAUUUAAGAAGCUUGUAUUUGUUUUCCAGUCACUAAGAACCACACUUAACUUUUUUUUUUUUUUUAAUUCAGAUGAGAGUGAAAAAUUGAGAUUAGGAGAAGAAAUUUACUGAAGAAGGCAUAANNNNNNNNNNNNNNNNNNNNNNNNNNNNNNNNNNNNNNNNNNNNNNNNNNNNNNNNNNNNNNNNNNNNNNNNCUCUCCUAGGCACUGAAGGGUAUUAAAAAAUAACAAGUAUGUAGCAGGCUAUAGUCCAUAAGGUUGCAAAGAGUCAGAAAUGACUGAAGCAACUAAGUAUUAACAUACGUAGAUUAAAGUCAAGGUUAAAUUUGGAUCUUUAGAAGUGAUUAUAUUUAAAGUGAUGAUCAAAAUUGGAGAAAGUAAAUGUGAUCUCUGUGAUUAAGUAGACAUUAAACAAGAAAAGUGUGUUUGGAAGGAGAGGCAAGGUGGAAUGAGGAAAUAACCUUCGAAUAGAGGCAAGGAGAGAUAAGGUGGUUAGGUGAAGAACUAGAAUUUUGUUCUUUUAUAAAACCUAGAUGAAGAGAUCUUAAGAAGAAGAGAGGCAAUUUUAUUAUUAAAAGGCAAAGAUAAAACAAGAACAACUUUACAAAAACCUUCAGAUUUUGUGGUUAAAUUAUUGUUGUUAAUCGAGAAUUCCACUUAAUUGGAAUAGCUGAAUUUACAAGUGACCAGAUACCAAGAAAAUAAAAGCAUCAGAUAUACUAAGCUCAUUGAAGCAUUUUAUAGUGUAAACAAAGCAAAACAUAGUACAGAUGGCAGCAACUGGGGGCAUCAAUAGAUAUCAAAAUAGACUUCAAGAAGACACUGGAGAUGCUUUAAAAAAGAAAAGGAAACAUUUUUGGAAUAAUUAAUAAGUAGAAGGAGUGACAUGAUUGAAAGAAGAAGCCAAUUAGAAUUUCCUGAAAUGGAGGCAGGACACAUGCCCUCUGCAUCUAGAAAGGAUGGUAGUAGGUAGCAUCCGUUAAGUAAGAAAAGAUAUUUAAAUAAGAAAGUGUAGUAUAGCACAGUGAGGCUUAACAUCACAUUAAAGAAGGCUAUAUCCAGGGUUGUCUCGGCUUCCUUUUUUAUAAAGGUUAAAAAGUUCUCUAUUUCAUAUUUUUGAGAUAAAUUUUAAAUCUUCCAUACUUCCUUAUCCAUCAUGUUUAUUUACUUGCUUAUUUG